rnacentral:rRNA from 1 species
AAGAUGGCGACCGGCGCACGGGUGAGUAACACGUAUCCAACCUGCCGAUAACUCUGGAAUAGCCUUUCGAAAGAAAGAUUAAUACCGGAUGGCAUACGAAUAUCGCAUGAUAUUUUUAUUAAAGAAUUUCGGUUAUCGAUGGGGAUGCGUUCCAUUAGUUUGUCGGCGGGGUAACGGCCCACCAGGACAACGAUGGAUAGGGGUUCUGAGAGGAAGGUCCCCCACAUUGGAACUGAGACACGGUCCAA